AUUGAAAUUGAUAUUCAAUCCAAUAAACGAAGAUGCUACGAGCAUACCACAUGUACAUAAUCGUUUAUUGAAUACGCUCAAACGAAAUGGAUUGGAAUUCCUCGACGAAGCUUUUCUUCGCCAUUUUAUUCACUUUUAAAGGGACUGAUGCAUCAUCACCGCCAGAUACAUCCUCAAGAUAUGAUGUUACGAAAAUACUGAACGAUUCCUUCGCAGGCAUCUUUGGAGGAAUCGAUUUGAAUGCAAAAAUAAAAUCAGCGAAGCUCUCUCGCCAAUACGGUAACAUGUACUCUUCCACAAAAACAUUAAAUGAAAGUGCUCAAAAAAUCCGAUCAAUUGCGGAUGAAAUUUCCAUGGUUUAUUAUAUCUUUCAUUACGGCGAGGGUCUAUUCAUCAACGGACCUUACAUAACUCAUUGGAGUUUAUCAAAAAAUGAAAUGCAAAUAAACUUCGGAAAAUUCCAUUUCCACAUCAAAGGAACAGUGAAAAUAACAAAAGCUAAUCUCUUCUUACAAUGUGAUUAUGAAAACUUUGUUAUUUUAUCUGGCGAUAAUUUCACAAUAACCGCAAAAAAACUGCAAGAAAACCACCACGACGACGAAAAAAUCCAAAUCGAUGUAUUGUUCAACAACAGAAAACUUCUGAAUAACGCAUUUGAGAAAUGUCGUCAAAUACCUUACAAGCAACAAUUAAAAUUGACACAUACUAUGAGUAUGGCAUUUCCGGCAAUAAUACGAGAUUGCAUCAUUACUAAGAGUGAUUUUGUGCCGUUAAUGAAUAAUACUCUCAAUCAUAUAAUUCCAAGACUGAAAAUUUCUUCAAUCCAUACAGAUUUUGUGGAGAACGAACAACACUACUACUAUCACAUACCUAUUAUUUCUUUCGUCCACUUUCAUUUGAAAAACAUCAAAAUCGUAGGUAUAUGGAAUUUGGAGCCCUACAAACAUCACUAUGAUCGCUACAGAGAUGCAAACACUCCUUUCACCUUACUUGUGAAAAACGUAAAAGGAAGCAUGAUGUUGGAUUCCGAAUCUGAACAUUUUCCGCAAUUCAAACUAAAAUUUGUUAUUGGUGAGCUCUCGAUGCUUUCCGACCAAAUUACCAAUAUACGAGUAUUGGCGAAAAAUUACAGCAUACUUGAGGAUACUUCAACACCGUCAACACGAAUUACCCCUUGGUUAACGAAAUUUUCCGAUUUCAUAAUGGGAAAUAUUUUAUCGGAGAUUGAAACAAUGACAAUACCAUUCAUCGAAGGCACAGUAAAUAGACGAAAUUUACCAUCAACGCGUACGAUGCUCAAAAUGGAAACCAUGCUGACACAGCUCUUGGAGAAAUCUACGAAUAACACAGACAAAGCUCAAGCUCAAACAUCCAACAAAAUCCGAACUUGAGAACUUCAUCUUCUGUAUCAGAAAUCCAUUACAAUAUUUUCAAGAAUUAGCAAUUCAGGAUUCUGCUAUCAAACAAUUUUGACUCUGAGAUCAAAUGACUGAAAAUUCAUCGGUGAUUACUAUAAACAACAUUGUUUUAAUUUGUGAAAAUAAACAUUCAAUCAAAACGCAACGUGGAAGUCGCUUAAUGUUGAUGAAAAAUAGUUUACAUGCAAUAAAAAUGAGGCAAAAAGUGAUAAUCAUCUCGAUAGUUUUUUAAAUGUUUAAUUUAAACAUGUAAUUAGUACGUUAUAUGUAUAUGAAUUAAAAUGAUACACAGACUGAAUUAUAAAUGAGGAAAUUCGAAAUUGAUUUUUGACUCGGCAAAUUAUAACUUCAAAUCAUAAUUCAUCAGAAGUAAUCAACAGUUUGUGAAAGUUUAACGUUUUAUUGUACUGUGAAGACAUGUAUUUGAAUCGUUCAAAAACGCUGUAUUCGUUUCUCAUUUUAUUCUUUCUAAAAGGCAUACAUAUACGCAUUACCUAAACGGCCACACCACGGGAAAAAUUAAUUUCAUCUUCGCUUGUUUUAGAAAUCGAUGCGACGGCUUUGCGGGACCCUUCUCCUAAAUACGAUAUUACAAAAAUAAUAAAUGAAACAGUUGUCAAACUAUUAGGUACAAAAAAUAGUGAUAAUUUGAACGAAAGAAUUCUAUCAUGGAUGCAUCCCGAGGCAGGAAAAUACUUCCGUCAUCAAAUAUCAAUUAAAAAUGAUCUGAAAAUUCGACCUUUCAACGAAGACUUCUUCUUAGAUGGUAUGAUUUUUCGCUACACUGGAUAUCCAUAUUUUUCCAAGGAGAGUAAGGCGAGAAUUCGCUGGAAUACUUCUAAAGCGGAAAUGAGCAUCAGCUGGAAUAAAAUCAGAUUUAUUAUCUACGGAAAAGUGAAAGAUGAAGCUUGUAGUUUCGUGUGGUGUCGACAUUAUUAUGAGUUCGAAGUAGUCCAUGUAUACGAUAACUUUUCAAUAACAGCCACCAAAUUAUCAUCAAAUCAACUUGACGACAAAAAAAUAUUCAUUGCUGUAUCGUACGAUCGUGUGGAGAAUGAGGAGGGUAUCAAAUUUUCGAAAAAUUAUGAAUUAUCCUACAAACAAAUACUGCAACUCAAAUAUAAGAUUGCAUUGGAAUCCACGACUUUAAUAAGCGAUUUUUUCAUCAAAAGCGAUGAUUUUUACAAUUUUUUUGAUAGUAUUCUCGUAACUCCAAAGGAACGAAUUACGUCAAUUCAUCCAGAUUUCCCCGAUAAUGAACAUAGCUAUUAUUAUAGUAUACCUGAUAUUCCCAUCGUGUACGUGAAUUUCAAAAAUAUUAAAAUUAUUGGCCUGUGGAGUUUUGAACCGUGCAUAGAUAACAAUACAAUUUCCUUACAUACGAAGAAUGUUCGAGGAAACAUGAUUUUGGAUGCUGGAUUUGAACAUUUUCCGCAGUUUGAACUGAAAUUCAUCAUCGAUGAACUUUCCAUGUUCAUUGACCACGGAAUUAAACGUAUACGAGUAAUGGCAAGAAAUUACAGCAUCUCUGAACUAACAUCGAAAUCAUCAUCAUCACUGUCCUCGUGGCUAAAAGAAUUUUCUGUUCCUAUAAUGGAUCUGAUCGAAUCAGCUAUCGAAACUACAAUAAUGCCGUCGAUGGGAUAUCUGUCACGUUCGUCUCUAUCGAAGAUACAGAUACAGGAAAUGGAAACCUCGUUCAUACAGCUUUUGAAGAAAUCUGCUGAUGUCUGACGGAGCCCAGAUAUGAUUUUUAAAGCACCAUUGAGGCUUUGACAAUCGACGUGAAUAAAGAAGGAGACGAAAAAAUAAAAUAACAAAGAUCUCACUUAAUAAACUCAAGUCUUGUUUCUACCAACAUCAUUUCUAACAUUAUUUUCAUCAACUACAGAACAAGAAAAAAUCGUUUCAAGCAGCAGAUUCAUCCAUUCACCUACGGAUAAAACUCAACCAAAAAGUAUUUUCCUUGCACCGCAAUCCUCAAGAAAUCGAGCAGUGUUUUCUCGGUAUUCGUUAUUUUUAUUCAUUUGCUUAUCAAAGCUUCCAAAAUAAAAUUAUAUUCGACUCAAAAAGCAUUAAAUAAAUUACGUAAAUGAAAAACUCGAUUGUUUUUCUAAUUCGGCUAAUUUGAAUAAUUUCCUACCAUAAUAAACGUUCUCGUAUAAUUUGCAA